UACAGAGGUCUCAAGCGUUGUUCGGAUUCAUUGGGCGUAAAGGGCGCGUAGGCGGUCACGCACGUCCGUUGUGAAAUCGCUCGGCUCAACUGGGCGGGGUCAGCGGAUACGGCGUGGCUGGAGCAAGCUAGGGGGCAAUGGAAUUCCCGGUGUAGUGGUGGAAUGCGUAGAUAUCGGGAGGAACACCAGUGGCGAAGGCGGUUGCCUGGAGCUUUGCUGACGCUGAGGCGCGAAAGCGUGGGGAGCGAUCCGG
rnacentral:rRNA from 1 species